rnacentral:rRNA from 1 species
AGUCGAGCGAAGCACUUUGCUUAGAUUCUUCGGAUGAAGAGGAUUGUGACUGAGCGGCGGACGGGUGAGUAACGCGUGGGUAACCUGCCUCGUACAGGGGGAUAACAGUUAGAAAUGACUGCUAAUACCGCAUAAGACCACAGCACCGCAUGGUGCAGGGGUAAAAACUCCGGUGGUAUGAGAUGGACCCGCGUCUGAUUAGCUAGUUGGUAAGGUAACGGCUUACCAAGGCGACGAUCAGUAGCCGACCUGAGAGGGUGACCGGCCACAUUGGGACUGAGACACGGCCCAAACUCCUACGGGAGGCAGCAGUGGGGAAUAUUGCACAAUGGGGGAAACCCUGAUGCAGCGACGCCGCGUGAGCGAAGAAGUAUUUCGGUAUGUAAAGCUCUAUCAGCAGGGAAGAAAAUGACGGUACCUGACUAAGAAGCACCGGCUAAAUACGUGCCAGCAGCCGCGGUAAUACGUAUGGUGCAAGCGUUAUCCGGAUUUACUGGGUGUAAAGGGAGCGUAGACGGAUGGGCAAGUCUGAUGUGAAAACCCGGGGCUCAACCCCGGGACUGCAUUGGAAACUGUUCAUCUAGAGUGCUGGAGAGGUAAGUGGAAUUCCUAGUGUAGCGGUGAAAUGCGUAGAUAUUAGGAGGAACACCAGUGGCGAAGGCGGCUUACUGGACAGUAACUGACGUUGAGGCUCGAAAGCGUGGGGAGCAAACAGGAUUAGAUACCCUGGUAGUCCACGCCGUANACGAUGACUACUAGGUG